rnacentral:miRNA from 1 species
CACUUGGGGAUCUUGUUAAAGUGCAGGUUCAGUGGGUCUGGAGUGGGCCUGAGAUUCUGCAUUUUUACUAAGCUCCCAGAUGGU